CGGAUUAAUAAAGGGGAGCCAUAUGCCGUUCAUGUUUACGAUGCAGAAACGUCCAUAUCAUACAAUGAUCCAUGUUCCUCGAAAGGCUGUCAACAUAUGUGUGUUAAGACUCCUGCGGGUCCCAGGUGUCUCUGUGCUGAAGGUUUCCGACUCUCCACAGACAACGUGACAUGCGCAGACCGAUCCUGGUUCCAUGGGAAAGGUUUUAUCGUGAACAAUGAAACAUCGUUUUCCAUGUUGGAAAUGAGUUCUCUUGGUGGGGGAGGAGGAGUGCAACCCUUUCUACCGGUCCCGUCUAUUAUUGAAACAUUUACCGUGGACGCCAACUUAGAUCUUAUCUACUUUGUGGAUGGACGUGAUAACACUUUAAAGGAAUUAAGCAUUAUCACUAAACAACAUAGAAAGCUAGCAGAUAUUUCAUAUGCCAAAGGUAAGAAGCUUUAAAAAAAUGUAAGAAGUUAUAUCAAAAUAUGAGAAGUAUAUCAAAGGCAAGAUG